rnacentral:rRNA from 1 species
AUGAACGCUAGCUACAGGCUUAACACAUGCAAGUCGAGGGGCAGCAUGGUCUUAGCUUGCUAAGGCCGAUGGCGACCGGCGCACGGGUGAGUAACACGUAUCCAACCUGCCGUCUACUCUUGGACAGCCUUCUGAAAGGAAGAUUAAUACAAGAUGGCAUCAUGAGUCCGCAUGUUCACAUGAUUAAAGGUAUUCCGGUAGACGAUGGGGAUGCGUUCCAUUAGAUAGUAGGCGGGGUAACGGCCCACCUAGUCUUCGAUGGAUAGGGGUUCUGAGAGGAAGGUCCCCCACAUUGGAACUGAGACACGGUCCAAACUCCUACGGGAGGCAGCAGUGAGGAAUAUUGGUCAAUGGGCGAGAGCCUGAACCAGCCAAGUAGCGUGAAGGAUGACUGCCCUAUGGGUUGUAAACUUCUUUUAUAAAGGAAUAAAGUCGGGUAUGGAUACCCGUUUGCAUGUACUUUAUGAAUAAGGAUCGGCUAACUCCGUGCCAGCAGCCGCGGUAAUACGGAGGAUCCGAGCGUUAUCCGGAUUUAUUGGGUUUAAAGGGAGCGUAGAUGGAUGUUUAAGUCAGUUGUGAAAGUUUGCGGCUCAACCGUAAAAUUGCAGUUGAUACUGGAUAUCUUGAGUGCAGUUGAGGCAGGCGGAAUUCGUGGUGUAGCGGUGAAAUGCUUAGAUAUCACGAAGAACUCCGAUUGCGAAGGCAGCCUGCUAAGCUGCAACUGACAUUGAGGCUCGAAAGUGUGGGUAUCAAACAGGAUUAGAUACCCUGGUAGUCCACACGGUAAACGAUGAAUACUCGCUGUUUGCGAUAUACUGCAAGCGGCCAAGCGAAAGCGUUAAGUAUUCCACCUGGGGAGUACGCCGGCAACGGUGAAACUCAAAGGAAUUGACGGGGGCCCGCACAAGCGGUGGAGCAUGUGGUUUAAUUCGAAGCAACGCGAAGAACCUUACCAGGUCUUGACAUCGAUCUAAAAGGGAUGGAGACAUCCCCAUAGCUAUAGAGAAGACAGGUGGUGCAUGGUUGUCGUCAGCUCGUGUCGUGAGAUGUUGGGUUAAGUCCCGCAACGAGCGCAACCCUUAUCCUUUGUUGCCAGCGCGUAAUGGCGGGAACUCAAAGGAGACUGCCGGUGAUAAACCGGAGGAAGGUGGGGAUGACGUCAAAUCAGCACGGCCCUUACGUCCGGGGCUACACACGUGUUACAAUGGGGGGUACAGAGGGCCGCUACCACGCGAGUGGAUGCCAAUCCCAAAAACCUCUCUCAGUUCGGACUGGAGUCUGCAACCCGACUCCACGAAGCUGGAUUCGCUAGUAAUCGCGCAUCAGCCACGGCGCGGUGAAUACGUUCCCGGGCCUUGUACACACCGCCCGUCACACCAUGAGAGUUGGCAACACCCGAAGCCGGCGGCCCAACCCGCAAGGGAGGGAGCUGUCUAAGGUGGGGCUGAUGAUUGGGGUG